AUGAGAGUUGGCAACACCCGAAGUCGGUAGUCUAACCGCAAGGAGGACGCCGCCGAAGGUGGGGUUGAUGAUUAGGGUUAAGUCGUAACAAGGUAAC
rnacentral:rRNA from 1 species